rnacentral:rRNA from 1 species
GACGAACGCUGGCGGCGUGCUUAACACAUGCAAGUCGAACGGAAAGGCCCUGCUUUUGUGGGGUGAUCGAGUGGCGAACGGGUGAGUAACACGUGAGUAACCUGCCCUUGACUUUGGGAUAACUUCAGGAAACUGGGGCUAAUACCGGAUAGGAGCUCCUGCUGCAUGGUGGGGGUUGGAAAGUUUCGGCGGUUGGGGAUGGACUCGCGGCUUAUCAGCUUGUUGGUGGGGUAGUGGCUUACCAAGGCUUUGACGGGUAGCCGGCCUGAGAGGGUGACCGGCGACAUUGGGACUGAGAGACGGCCCAGACUCCUACGGGAGGCAGCAGUGGGGAAUAUUGCACAAUGGGCGGAAGCCUGAUGCAGCAACGCCGCGUGCGGGAUGACGGCCUUCGGGUUGUAAACCGCUUUCGCCUGUGACGAAGCGUGAGUGACGGUAAUGGGUAAAGAAGCACCGGCUAACUACGUG